rnacentral:rRNA from 1 species
UACGGAGGGUGCGAGCGUUGUUCGGAAUUACUGGGCGUAAAGGGCUCGUAGGCGGCCAACUAAGUCAUACGUGAAAUCCCUCAGCUUAACUGGGGAACUGCGUGUGAUACUGGAUGGCUUGGAUUUGGGAGAGGGAUGCGGAAUUCCAGGUGUAGCGGUGAAAUGCGUAGAUAUCUGGAGGAACACCGGUGGCGAAGGCGGCAUCCUGGACCAAUAUUGACGCUGAGGAGCGAAAGCCAGGGGAGCAAACGGG